ACAGGAUUAGAUACCCUGGUAGUCCACGCCGUAAACGUUGGGCGCUAGGUGUGGGGAUCAUUCCACGGUCUCUGUGCCGCAGCUAACGCAUUAAGCGCCCCGCCUGGGGAGUACGGCCGCAAGGCUAAGACUCAAAGGAAUUGACGGGGGCCCGCACAAGCGGCGGAGCAUGUUGCUUAAUUCGAUGCAACGCGAAGAACCUUACCAGGGUUUGACAUGCAGGGAAAUCCGGCAGAGAUGUCGGGUCCGUAAGGGUCCUGCACAGGUGGUGCAUGGCUGUCGUCAGCUCGUGUCGUGAGAUGUUGGGUUAAGUCCCGCAACGAGCGCAACCCUCGUCCUAUGUUACCAGCGGGUUAUGCCGGGAACUCAUAGGAGACUGCCGGGGUCAACUCGGAGGAAGGUGGGGAUGAAGUCAAGUCAUCAUGCCCCUUAUGUCCUGGGCUGCAAACAUGCUACAAUGGCCGGUACAAAGGGCUGCGAUACCGCAAGGUGGAGCGAAUCCCAAAAAGCCGGUCUCAGUUCGGAUCGGGGUCUGCAACUCGACCCCGUGAAGUCGGAGUCGCUAGUAAUCGCAGAUCAGCAAUGCUGCGGUGAAUACGUUCCCGGGCCUUGUACACACCGCCCGUCAAGUCAUGAAAGUCGGUAACACCCGAAGCCGGUGGCCCAACCCUUUUGGGAGGGAGCCGUCGAAGGUGGGACCGGCGAUUAGGACUAAGUCGUAAACAAGGUAGCAUC
rnacentral:rRNA from 1 species